GACGAACGCUGGCGGCGUGCUUAACACAUGCAAGUCGAACGGAAAGGCCCUGCUUUUGUGGGGUGCUCGAGUGGCGAACGGGUGAGUAACACGUGUGUAACCUGCCCUUGACUUUGGGAUAACUUCAGGAAACUGGGGCUAAUACCGGAUAGGAGCUCCUGCUGCAUGGUGGGGGUUGGAAAGUUUCGGCGGUUGGGGAUGGACUCGCGGCUUAUCAGCUUGUUGGUGGGGUAGUGGCUUACCAAGGCUUUGAGGGGUAGCCGGCCUGAGAGGGGGACCGGCCACAUUGGGACUGAGAUACGGCCCAGACUCGUACGGGAGGCAGCAGUGGGGAAUAUUGCACAAUGGGCGGAAGCCUGAGGCAGCAACGCCGGGUGCAGGAUGACGGCCUUCGGGUUGUAAACCGCUUUCGCCUGUGACGAAGCGUGAGUGACGGUAAUGGGUAAAGAAGCACCGGCUAACUACGUG
rnacentral:rRNA from 1 species